AGAUUGAACGCUGGCGGCAUGCCUAACACAUGCAAGUCGAACGGGAGUAGCAAUACUCUAGUGGCGGACGGGUGAGGAAUACGUAGGAAUUUGCCCUUAAGUGGGGGAUAACCCGGGGAAACCCGGAUUAAUACCGCAUGACCUCGAAAGAGCAAAGUGGGGGAUCGCAAGACCUCACGCUUUUGGAGAAGCCUACGUCGGAUUAGCUAGUUGGUGAGGUAAUGGCUCACCAAGGCGACGAUCCGUAACUGGUCUGAGAGGAUGAUCAGUCACACCGGAACUGAGACACGGUCCGGACUCCUACGGGAGCAGCAGUGGGGAAUAUGGACAAUGGGCGCAAGCCUGAUCCAGCAAUGCCGCGUGUGUGAAGGAAGGCCUUCGGGUGUAAAGCACGUUUAAGGUUAGGGAAAGGAAAAAACUCGACGUUCUAACAACAGUAGAGUACUGACGUACCGACAGAAUAAGCACCGACUAACUACU
rnacentral:rRNA from 1 species